AUUGAACGCUGGCGGCAGGCCUAACACAUGCAAGUCGAGCGAGCGGCGGACGGGUGAGUAAUGUAUGGGGACUGCCCGAUCGAGGGGGCUAACUACUGGAAACGGUGGCUACUCCCGCAUACUAUCGGAUAACCCAUAUGGGAUUAGCUAGUCGGUGGGGUAAAGGCUCACCUAGGCGACGAUCUCUAGCUGGUCUGAGAGGAUGAUCAGCCACACUGGGACUGAGACACGGCCCAGACUCCUACGGAGGCAGCAGUGGGGAAUAUUGCACAAUGGGCGCAAGCCUGAUGCAGCCAUGCCGCGUGUAUGAAGAAGGCCUUAGGGUUGUAAAGUACUUUCAGCGGGGAGGCGGUACCCGCAGAAGAAGCACCGGCUAACUCCGUGCCAGCAGCCGCGGUAAUAC
rnacentral:rRNA from 1 species